AGCGAACGUUGGCGGCAGGCCUAACACAUGCAAGUCGAACGAAGUCUUCGGACUUAGUGGCGGACGGGUGAGUAACACGUGGGAACGUACCUUUUGGUUCGGAACAACUCAGGGAAACUUGAGCUAAUACCGGAUGAGCCCUUAGGGGGAAAGAUUUAUCGCCGAAAGAGCGGCCCGCGUUAGAUUAGCUAGUUGGUGAGGUAAAGGCUCACCAAGGCUACGAUCUAUAGCUGGUCUGAGAGGAUGAUCAGCCACACUGGGACUGAGACACGGCCCAGACUCCUACGGGAGGCAGCAGUGGGGAAUCUUGCGAAAUGGGCGAAAGCCUGACGCAGCCGUGCCGCGUGAAUGAUGAAGGUCUUAGGAUUGUAAAAUUCUUUUACCAGGGACGAUAAUGACGGUACCUGGAGAAAAAGCCCCGGCUAACUUCGUGCCAGCCGCCGCCGUAAGAC
rnacentral:rRNA from 1 species